rnacentral:rRNA from 1 species
AUCAACUUUCGAUGGUAGGAUAGAGGCCUACCAUGGUGGUAACGGGUAACGGGGUGUUAGGGCACGACACCGGAGAGGGAGCCUGAGAAACGGCUACCACAUCCAAGGAUGGCAGCAGGCGCGCAAAUUACCCAAUCCCGACACGGGGAGGUAGUGACAAUAAAUAACAAUACGGGGUUCUUUAGGAUUUCGUAAUUGGAAUGAGUACAAUUUAAAUCUCUUAACGAGGAACAAUUGGAGGGCAAGUCUGGUGCCAGCAGCCGCGGUAAUUCCAGCUCCAAUAGCGUAUAUUAAAGUUGUUGCAGUUAAAAAGCUCGUAGUUGAAUUUCGGGAUCAUCAGGUUGGUCGUGCCUCUGGUAUGUACUGAUUUCGAUGGUCCCUCCUUCUUGAAGAGCCGUAAUGCCAUUAAUUUGGUGUUGCGGGGAAUCAGGACUGUUACUUUGAAAAAAUUAGAGUGUUUAAAGCAGGCAAUCGCUUGAAUACAUUAGCAUGGAAUAAUGAAAUAGGACGUUCGAUCCUAUUUUGUUGGUUUCUAGGAUUGACGUAAUGAUUAAUAGGGAUAGUUGGGGGCAUUAGUAUUCAAUUGUCAGAGGUGAAAUUCUUGGAUUUAUUGAAGACUAACUACUGCGAAAGCAUUUGCCAAGGAUGUUUUCAUUAAUCAAGAACGAAAGUUAGGGGAUCGAAGACGAUCAGAUACCGUCGUAGUCUUAACCAUAAACUAUGCCGACUAGGGAUCGGAUGAUGUUAAUUUUUUAAUGACUCAUUCGGCGCCUUACGGGAAACCAAAGUGUUUGGGUUC